rnacentral:lncRNA from 1 species
UUCUCAUCUCAAUCCUUUUAAUUCAUCUUCCUGGUCAAUCAUUAUCUGCCUUGCAGAGUUCGCAGGAAAAACAACUGAACAAAUCCUUUAUAACCUUUUCUAUCACCAAAAACUACAACUUCCUCAGAUGCUACUCAAUCUAUAUCAUGCACCAAUACUAGAAGCUGAUCAAAAGAUUCACAGGUCUCAACUUAAUCCAACUACUUAAUCGU